rnacentral:rRNA from 1 species
GACGAACGCUGGCGGCGUGCUUAACACAUGCAAGUCGAACGAAAAGAGGGAGAGAGCUUGCUCUUUCCGGAAUUGAGUGGCAAACGGGUGAGUAACACGUAAACAACCUGCCUUCAGGAUGGGGACAACAGACGGAAACGACUGCUAAUACCGAAUAAGUUCCAAGAGCCGCAUGGCCCAUGGAAGAAAAGGUGGCCUCUACCUGUAAGCUAUCGCCUGAAGAGGGGUUUGCGUCUGAUUAGCUGGUUGGAGGGGUAACGGCCCACCAAGGCGACGAUCAGUAGCCGGUCUGAGAGGAUGAACGGCCACACUGGAACUGAGACACGGUCCAGACUCCUACGGGAAGCAGCAGUGGGGAAUCUUCCGCAAUGGGCGAAAGCCUGACGGAGCAACGCCGCGUGAGUGAUGACGGCCUUCGGGUUGUAAAACUCUGUGAUCCGGGACGAAAAGGCAGAGUGCGAAGAACAAACUGCAUUGACGGUACCGGAAAAGCAAGCCACGGCUAACUACGUG